rnacentral:misc_RNA from 1 species
GUGAAUGCCUGGGCUGUCAUACGGACUGCGGUCUCUGACGCCCACCCACUAUAUCCGCAAACCCUGUGCACUGUGGUGUUGUCUUGGACACACCUCGCCAACCAACUCGAAUGGUUAGUAUGAACGUGGAACUUGGUUGGACCGUCACUGGCCAACAAACUAUACA